rnacentral:lncRNA from 1 species
UGUGUAGUUAAUCUACAAUAACAAGAAUAUAAUAUAAGCGGACAACUUAUGAUGAUAUGCACAAUUAGACUAGGACUUUUAUCUAAUUGUGUCUUCUACUAUUUUAUUGAACUUCAUAGCCCUCAAAUAUGAAAAUCAAAAAAUAUUCUAAUAUUUCUUAGUGGGAUUGAGAUCCCUAUUUCUCAAAAACACCUAAUGGAUAGCACAACAAGCAUUCAUGAGUUCAAGAGUAGAUAACUCUUUACCAAUUGUACCUCUACAAUUCUCAAUAUCUUUUAUUCUGGCCUCU